rnacentral:rRNA from 1 species
UGGGGAAUUUUGGACAAUGGGGGAAACCCUGAUCCAGCCAUCCCGCGUGUGCGAUGAAGGCCUUCGGGUUGUAAAGCACUUUUGGCAGGAAAGAAACGUCGCGGGUUAAUACCCCGCGAAACUGACGGUACCUGCAGAAUAAGCACCGGCUAACUACGUGCCAGCAGCCGCGGUAAUACGUAGGGUGCAAGCGUUAAUCGGAAUUACUGGGCGUAAAGCGUGCGCAGGCGGUUCGGAAAGAAAGAUGUGAAAUCCCAGAGCUUAACUCUGGAACUGCAUUUUUAACUACCGGGCUAGAGUGUGUCAGAGGGAGGUGGAAUUCCGCGUGUAGCAGUGAAAUGCGUAGAUAUGCGGAGGAACACCGAUGGCGAAGGCAGCCUCCUGGGAUAACACUGACGCUCAUGCACGAAAGCGUGGGGAGCAAACAGGAUUAGAUACCCUGGUAGUCCACGCCCUAAACGAUGUCAACUAGCUGUUGGGGCCUUCGGGCCUUGGUAGCGCAGCUAACGCGUGAAGUUGACCGCCUGGGGAGUACGGUCGCAAGAUUAAAACUCAAAUGAAUUGAC